rnacentral:lncRNA from 1 species
CUUCCCCAAAGCCUACAAAAAGCAAAUAAUAUAGUGAUUUUCAACAAGCUUUGGAAAACAUAAGAAACCAGCUUGAAGACCCCAGCCCCACCCUGCGACACUGGCCCCGCUGAGUGCGCCUGAGGCCCACGCCUGACUCGGAUUCUGUCGCUGGGGCCAACUCCAUGGACUCACCCAUUCUUUCUGAGAACUCGCCUCCCAACACGGACCAAAUGUUUGAACUUUCGCUCCUGUCCCAUAUUUGAAGAUCUGGAGACCCACCAGGCUUUUCCUUUUCCCCUGAAGAAUAAAACCCCUGCCCCAUAGCUCAGUCGGUAAAGAAUCCACCUGCAAUGUGGGAGACCUGGGUUCAAUCCUGGGUCGGGAAGCUCCCCUGGAGAAGGAAAUGGCAACUCACUCCAGUGUUCUUGCCUGGAGAAUCCCAUGGUCA